UGGGUUAUAAAUUUUGCAGGUAAAAUUGUUGCCAGAGGUUGAUCUUCAUGGAGUGAAUUGGCAUCGACAUAAGCAUAUUUUAGCAUUCAUUUCUGGGCCAAAUCAUGUUACAAUUCGUGAUUAUGAGGAUUCAGAACGGAAGGAACCAUGCAUUUUGACCCAUGAAUCCCAAAGAGAUGUUAAGCUUCUUGAGUGGAGGCCAAAUGGUGGGAGGACACUUUCUGUAGCAUGCAAGCAAGGGUAGAAUUUGUAUAUGGACUGCUUCUUAUCCUGCCAAUGCGGCAUCUGUGAGAUCUGGAGUUACCUCUGGCACUAUUGCUAGGGGUGCUGGAACUCGAUGGACUCUAGUGGAUUUUCUUCGAAGUCACGAUGAUGAACAAAUUAGUGCACUUUCUUGGAGUCCAGAUGGAA